UACAGAGGGGGCUAGCGUUAUUCGGAAUUAUUGGGCGUAACGGGCGCGUAGGCGGCCCUGCGUGUCUUCCGUGAAAUCCCUCGGCUUAACUGAGGACGUGCGGAAGAAACUGCAGGGCUCGAGUCCGGGAGAGGGGGGUGGAAUUCCCAGUGUAGCGGUGAAAUGCGUAGAUAUUGGGAGGAACACCGGUGGCGAAAGCGGCGCACUGGACCACUACUGACGCUGAGGCGCGAAAGCGAGGGGAGCAAACAGG
rnacentral:rRNA from 1 species